AAAAAUCUUCACGUAUCCCACUAGUUCAGUAUUAGCCGCCGAACAUAACUCCCAUUUUCUCUAUUUCUUAAAAACAAUCUGACUCAAACGUAAACCGUCGGUGCCUUUCUCUUCCAUGUUAAUGAAAAGCUCUAUACAUGAGGUUAUGGCUCAAAUUCUCGCAUGACAAAAUCGAUGGAUCUGCAAACAUCAAAGCAUCUACAUAGUAAGGAUAUAAUUACGUAUGACGGGAUCCGUGCUUGGAAUUGGAAUUAAAGUUUUAGUCUAUGUAAUUACUAAGGAAAUUAUUUAUGUUAAUGAAUCUUUAGUGAUUUUGGUAUUGUCAUUAUUUUAAUUGACAUUAUUUACUCGAGUAUUCGACUGGCUAAAUGUGUAUUAAGAUUAUUCAUGAAUAGUAAUUUUAGCAGUUCUUUCUUUUGUA